rnacentral:rRNA from 1 species
GACGAACGCUGGCGGCGUGCCUAAUACAUGCAAGUUGAGCGCUGAAGGUUGGUACUUGUACCAACUGGAUGAGCAGCGAACGGGUGAGUAACGCGUGGGGAAUCUGCCUUUGAGCGGGGGACAACAUUUGGAAACGAAUGCUAAUACCGCAUAAAAACUUUAAACACAAGUUUUAAGUUUGAAAGAUGCAAUUGCAUCACUCAAAGAUGAUCCCGCGUUGUAUUAGCUAGUUGGUGAGGUAAAGGCUCACCAAGGCGAUGAUACAUAGCCGACCUGAGAGGGUGAUCGGCCACAUUGGGACUGAGACACGGCCCAAACUCCUACGGGAGGCAGCAGUAGGGAAUCUUCGGCAAUGGACGAAAGUCUGACCGAGCAACGCCGCGUGAGUGAAGAAGGUUUUCGGAUCGUAAAACUCUGUUGGUAGAGAAGAGCGUUGGUGAGAGUGGAGAGCUCAUCAAGUGACGGUAACUACCCAGAAAGGGACGGCUAACUACGUG